rnacentral:rRNA from 1 species
CGCUAGCUACAGGCUUAACACAUGCAAGUCGAGGGGCAGCAUGGUCUUAGCUUGCUAAGGCCGAUGGCGACCGGCGCACGGGUGAGUAACACGUAUCCAACCUGCCGUCUACUCUUGGACAGCCUUCUGAAAGGAAGAUUAAUACAAGAUGGCAUCAUGAGUCCGCAUGUUCACAUGAUUAAAGGUAUUCCGGUAGACGAUGGGGAUGCGUUCCAUUAGAUAGUAGGCGGGGUAACGGCCCACCUAGUCUUCGAUGGAUAGGGGUUCUGAGAGGAAGGUCCCCCACAUUGGAACUGAGACACGGUCCAAACUCCUACGGGAGGCAGCAGUGAGGAAUAUUGGUCAAUGGGCGAGAGCCUGAACCAGCCAAGUAGCGUGAAGGAUGACUGCCCUAUGGGUUGUAAACUUCUUUUAUAAAGGAAUAAAGUCGGGUAUGGAUACCCGUUUGCAUGUACUUUAUGAAUAAGGAUCGGCUAACUCCGUGCCAGCAGCCGCGGUAAUACGGAGGAUCCGAGCGUUAUCCGGAUUUAUUGGGUUUAAAGGGAGCGUAGAUGGAUGUUUAAGUCAGUUGUGAAAGUUUGCGGCUCAACCGUAAAAUUGCAGUUGAUACUGGAUAUCUUGAGUGCAGUUGAGGCAGGCGGAAUUCGUGGUGUAGCGGUGAAAUGCUUAGAUAUCACGAAGAACUCCGAUUGCGAAGGCAGCCUGCUAAGCUGCAACUGACAUUGAGGCUCGAAAGUGUGGGUAUCAAACAGGAUUAGAUACCCUGGUAGUCCACACGGUAAACGAUGAAUACUCGCUGUUUGCGAUAUACUGCAAGCGGCCAAGCGAAAGCGUUAAGUAUUCCACCUGGGGAGUACGCCGGCAACGGUGAAACUCAAAGGAAUUGACGGGGGCCCGCACAAGCGGAGGAACAUGUGGUUUAAUUCGAUGAUACGCGAGGAACCUUACCCGGGCUUAAAUUGCAGAUGAAUUACGGUGAAAGCCGUAAGCCGCAAGGCAUCUGUGAAGGUGCUGCAUGGUUGUCGUCAGCUCGUGCCGUGAGGUGUCGGCUUAAGUGCCAUAACGAGCGCAACCCUUGUUGUCAGUUACUAACAGGUUCCGCUGAGGACUCUGACAAGACUGCCAUCGUAAGAUGUGAGGAAGGUGGGGAUGACGUCAAAUCAGCACGGCCCUUACGUCCGGGGCUACACACGUGUUACAAUGGGGGGUACAGAGGGCCGCUACCACGCGAGUGGAUGCCAAUCCCCAAAACCUCUCUCAGUUCGGACUGGAGUCUGCAACCCGACUCCACGAAGCUGGAUUCGCUAGUAAUCGCGCAUCAGCCACGGCGCGGUGAAUACGUUCCCGGGCCUUGUACACACCGCCCGUCAAGCCAUGGGAGCCGGGGGUACCUGAAGUGCGUAACCGCGAGGAGCGCCCUAGGGUAAAACUGGUA